GAGGACUUAGGAUAGUAAGACUAGGGGCCUUCAAAACCCCCGGCGAGAGUGUCAACCUCUCAGUCCUCG
rnacentral:tRNA from 1 species